rnacentral:rRNA from 1 species
AGUGAACGCUGGCGGCAGGCCUAACACAUGCAAGUCGAACGGCAGCACAGCAGUAGCAAUACUGUGGGUGGCGAGUGGCGGACGGGUGAGGAAUACAUCGGAAUCUACCUUGUCGUGGGGGAUAACGUAGGGAAACUUACGCUAAUACCGCAUACGAACUACGGUUGAAAGCGGCGGACUCGCAAGAGCGUCGCGCGAUU